UUGUCUCACCAAAACUAAAGUUCAGAUUAAAAUAGACUUUCGGGUGCGUUUGGUCCGCGCUAUCUUUUUAAGAUUCCUAAUAAUCUAAUAGAAAUAAAAAAAAUAUGACGAUAUUUGACUAAACGCACUAAAUAAUCUAGUUGGCAAUACUGGAUUUACUUGGGAAUGAGAUGCAUCCCAAAGUACUAAUCUCAUAUUCUCAUUCCUUUGAGGGAGGGUGGGUAUUCUUAUAUUAAUGGAUUGGAGUAAUUAUAAUAUGUCUAAUUUCUUUCUUUCUCCUUACCCGCCGGCUAGUUGAUAUUAUUUUUUUUUACACUCUAACCUCAUAUCUCUCUCUAAACUUAUCAUUUUCUCUCUCUAAAUUAAGCUAUUUCUCCCUCUCUUUUUCUAAAAUCUCAACCUUCUCAUUCUCUAUAACCUCACUCUAUUUCUCUUUCAAUUUUUUUAAUUAUGCUUUCUCUUUCUAACUUAUAUUCUCUCUCCUUUUUUUUUCUAAAAAAAUAUUGAAAUUUUUUAUAAUAUUAUUUAAAAAUAAAUAAAUAAAUAAAUUGUAUAUUUUUUGUAAUUUUAAAUAACAUGACUAAAUAAUAUGAUCGUACGAACCAAACAUCAAAAUACUACAUUCUCAGUAAUAGCAUGAAUAAGAAUAAGAUUCUCAGAUAUCUUUUUACUCCUAUUAAUCUUUCAUAGUGCGAACCAAACGCGCCCUUCAGGUUAACUAGAGUUCAGAUAAAAAUUAAUGUUCUCCGUUAUUUAUUUCUAUACUUGUAGAACUGUUUUUUUUUACUUUUUUUUUUUCUCUGAAUGACGUAAAAACUAAAGUUUCGGCCUUACUAGAUCGUUUCGGUCCGGCUCAUUAACUCUUAGGGCAUGUUUGGUUCACUCAUUUUAGACUAUAGAAUCAGAAUGGAAUUCAUUGAUUCCGAUAGUUGCCGUUUGUUUUAUAGAAAUCGGAUUCCGAUUUUCAUUCCACUUCGGAAUGGUAAUGACCAAAUCCAUUUAUGAUCUUAUCCGGCUUUGAAUCCCAGAUUGGCUUAUUCCAAAGUAAACUAUUCAAAAUCCUUUUUCAUCAACACCUACCUCCUUUCCCUUCAUCACUUUUUUUCUUUCUUAAUCAAAACUCUCUCUCAAAAAUUUUAAAAUUUUAUUUCAAUUUUCAUUCCAAUAAUGAACCAAACAUUUUGGAUAAUUCGUCAUUCCAUUUUCCAUUCCAAAACAAUGCAAUUCUAUUUUUCAUUUCUAUUCCAAUCAUGAACCAAACAUGACCUUAGAUGAGUCCGUAAAUGCCAAUACUUAUAUUUUUCUAUAAAAAAAUUUGUACAAAUUAUAUCCCACCCACCCAAUAGGUGGUAGUCAAUUACUCGUCACAUAUAAAAACAUCCCACACAUUGGUUUGGUGGAAUGUAAAAUAUAUAUCCUAACUGAGGUGCAUAUAUAGUAUUGCUCUUGGUCUUGCUUAUAUUAUUGCACGUAAUCUCGCAAGCUUCAAAGCAUACAAUUUUUUUUUUUUAUAAUCCAAACUGAUAAGGAAAAAAAAUAAAAAAUAAAAAUUAAAGAUAGAUUUACCUUUUUUUUUUUUUAUCCCGACACUUAAUUUUCAAAGGUGAAGAAUUUUAUAAAAUCAUGUGCGAAACAAGCAAUCAAAGCUGUUAUUUAGGCGUAUUUUUACAUUUAUCCCAAAAAUAGAUAUGUAAAAUUUAUAAUUUUUUAUGAGUUUUGAUUUCAAUAGAAGGAGCUAAAUCAAACAAACAAUAAGUACAGCUGUUUAAAUCAAAUAAAAAAAAAAUUCAAGGGGUUAAUUUUAUAGCGGAUUAAAGUAGGGAUGUUAAUAGGUAUAGAAACGUGAAAUUUUAUUCGAAUCCGAACCCGAACCCGAACCUGAACCCGAAUAGAGCGAAUAUAUUCAAUGCUAAAUAGAUAUGAAUUUGGAUAUGAAUAUCAAAAAUAAAAAUCCGACGAAUAUGAAUUUUUGACUGUACCCGAUUCGAAUCCGAACCCGACCUGAAUCCAACCCGAACUCGACCCGAACCUUAAUUUAUUUUGCAUUAUUAUAUAUAAUAUAUAUAUAUAUAUAUAUAUAUAUAUAUAUAUAUAAAAUUGAUAUUAUAUUUGAAUUUGUAUUUUAAAAAUUUAAAUUUCAUAUAAUAUAUUUUGAAAUAUUGAAAAAAGAAAUAAUUGUGUUAGGUUCGGAUUCGGGUUCAAAUUUCGAAUUUUUGAUCGAUUUCGGAUUUGGAUAUGAAUUUUUAAAAUAUGUCUGAUUCAAGUCAGGUUUAGAAUCGGGUUCGGGUUCGGAUUUUUGAAAAUCCGCCCGAAUCCGACCAACUGACAUUUCUAGAUUAAAGUAUCAAUUUUUUAUAAAUAAAAUAACCUCAUAAUAUGGUUUUCGGAGAGCGGACCAUGGUGCACCGGGAGCACGGACCAAUUUCUACCCACCCCGGUUCUUAAUGCGCCGAGGGUGAAGGUGAAACCCCGCUCUUCGCCUUCCUACUCCCGUGAGCCGCCGCCGCCGCGCACCGCCGGAGCGAUCUCCCCGCGUCGUACGGGCGUCCGCACCAACUCACCCGUGCGGGGUCCGUGGUCCACGAGCUCUCCUAGUGCCCGUGCACCGAAGUAAACGCUCAAACUCCGCUCAAAUUUGUUCGGCUUAAAUAUUUUGAUCCUGUUGUGGAAUCAUACUUACAAAAUUCUUUGAUUUUAUGAAAAAUAAUUCGCGAAUAGUUCAUGAAUUUUUGAUCUUUCGAGUAUUUCUCAUAUACUCCCCCCAAAAAAAUUCAUAGGAAAGUGUGGAAAACCAUGAAUUAAUCACCAUUUUCCAUGUAUUUUACGCGUUAUUUCAUGACCCAAUGAAUUACGCAUAAAAUUUCUAAGUUUUGUGGCCUUAAAUUUGGUGAAGGACAUGAUUAAUUACAUAAUAAUUUUAAACUCCUCCUUUGAACAUUUUAAUAUUUUGUUGUAUAUUUUACUAUAGCAUAAUGCUUAAUAAGGAAAAUGUGGUUUUCUAUUUUUUAUCCGAACAUAGCUUUGAAUCUAACAUACUGUUGUGUAUCACCGAACUCGCAAAGCCUUUUUAGUUAAUUUAAUUUUUAGAUAUUUUUGGUGAAAAUUUAGCUAUUGAUUAUUGAAUGAUUUGACAAUUUCUUUUUGAAUCUGGUGUUAAAUUGGCUACUACAUCUUCUUUUGAGUCCUUUUUUUUUUCUGAUUAAAUUUUGAGUAGAGUACUAAUGCUUAUUUUUCAGUAGUUUGGAAGAUGGAUAUUACUUUUCAUGACGCGAGGAAGUUAUGGUCGCUUAUCUGGUACGAAGAAGGUCUGAUUGAUAAGAAACGAAGGUCGGUUGUGAUUGACGUCGCUCUUUCUUCACACUCUGAUAAUUCGUUCUUUGUUGGCCUACUGUCGACACUCUUGUUCAUGGCUUUUUGUAUCCUAUGAACUCAGAGGAUUACUUAUUACUUGCAUGAUUUUCGUGCAGGUGGUUGCAGUCGACAAGUUCUAAUUCUGACGGUACUCAAAAGAGACAGAAAAGACCGAAGUUUUUAACUGACGCGUAAGCAUUCUUGCUGUGAUUUCUUUUUGCAUCUUUAGGUCGUGAAUAAUCCGAGGGCGCGUCAACAACAUGAGAAGAUAGAUUGUUCAGCAGUUGUUUCAAAAGUUUUCACUUUUAUGACUUUGCAUUCAGAUAUCCAUAUUUUACGUAGUCGUUAGUUGUCUGGGACUCUUACAAGUAACGCAGUCCUUUAAUAGCCUGAGUGCUGCGGAUGUGUAGGAUUGAUCUGGAGCGUAAGAUGCUUCUCGCUCAGUAGAUUUCUUGCUGCUAUCUCAUAAAAAGUAGUACUCUUUUGAGGAAGAAGGGUUCUUUUGUAUUACUGCUUUAUUUUGAAAAACUGGUUUAUAACCAUAGCUUAUAUAAACAUGUUUUGCUGAUAGGAUUUAUAGUUAGUUUAAUUCUCCUGCUGUUUCGGAUUAAUGCUUUUUGUCGUUGCUUCCUUAUCUAUUACAGGCACUAUGAUAGAUCCUAUUAGGUUUUAAUUGUUAUCUUUGGAUUUGUGCAGGUACUUACCAGAAUCAGACUUGAGAAGUGAUCAGGUGAGCUUUUUUUUCCUUUUUAGUGAGAAGCUAAUAACUUUUUUUCGGCGGCAAAGCAUGAGAAUAAAACUUCAUAUUUUUUCUCUUAUAUUUGCUAAAUUUUGAACUGCGAGUCUGUGACAAAUAUGGUUGGACUACUGCAUCCCUGUUCAUAAUUCUUAUUUGUUAAAUGAGAAGUCCGGGUGCUGAUUGUUUGAUUAUUAUUAAUUUUUUAAUUCCAUAACAUAUUGAUGCAUAGUGGUGGAGCUGUUCAUUCCACUGCUUACGUACUUGAAUUAAGGUAGUUCUAUGAAUAAGAGUUGUUUUUCAAGCAGCAAUGUGAGUUUGUGAUCAAUAUUUAGCAUAUUUCCCUUAUAAUCCUUAAUUUUUCUCUAUUCCUUCAUUUUUUGGAUUUUUUGGACAUGUGUGAUUACCUUUUAAAGAUAUCUUGUCAUAUUUUUAAUGUUCUGCAGGUAUAGUAACGCAAUAUUUAGGAAUAAUUGAAUAUAUUUUAGUAGUAAACUAUAGAGCUACAGACCAGAUAAAUUCUGUCGCACAUUAUACUUUUAGUGAUGGCGGUAGAUUUUGUUCUUUAUCCUGAUGAUUUUUAUAUUACGCUUUAGAAAUUCUUACUUUAUGGAUUUCAAACUGUAGAACCAUUCUUUGAUUUUUUUUAUUUUUUAUUUUUUUUUAACUUUAACCCACUUGAUGACUUAGGAGAAAUAUAUACUUUUCAGGUAGCUUAUGAGAAUGUAAAAGCUAAUAUUGAUAGAAGCUUUGGAGAAAGCUAUAGCAAACACCAUGUGGUUCAGGACUAUCAGCAACUCCUUGACACCCACAUGAAAACGAGCGACUCUUUAGACCAAUCCAGUUUCUUCAAGACCUUUUCCUCCAUGAUUAGUGACUUAAGCAAUGAUGCACUAUGCGCUGUAGCUAACACUGUUACCAACAACAAUUUGAGCUUCGAGAAAACGCGUCCAAGGAUGAAAAGAAUUAUAAAGAACUAUCUUCCAGUUUUUUUUUCAGAUUCAAAUGUCAACAGUAACCUGGUGAAAAUUCAACAGUUAUGGCAAGUUUUCAGCAACCCGUACAACCUUCGCAAGAAACCUCUGACACUCAUCACUCCAAUCUCGCCGCCGCUUCUUUCAUCUAUUCAGAAGACCUUGGAAGGACUCGAGGAAAUGACGCUUCAGGAACUUGUUGCAGUGAAUAGAAAGCUUAGAGGUGUCACAGUAGUCCCUCAAUGUCCACCUGUUAUUGCUGGUAAAAGGGAUUUGCUUAUCGAACGUGUCAGGAAAAGAUCUAAUAAACUUAUAGGAAGACUAGAGGGGCGACUUUAUCUGCCUAAGCAAUUAGCAAAAGCAUUAUCUGUUGUGCAAUUGUCUCUAAAACAUAAAUCAAGACGUGUUGAUAUAUCGACAUCCGAGUUUUUCCCCUUCUCUCUGGAAACCGUGGCCUUGCAGAAUGAUAUUUUAAAGGCUCUUUGGUUGAUGCCAAUAGUUAAACAUGAUGAGAUUAAGCUUUUGCAACCUCAAUUGGAUCCAAAAGCCAAAGUACCGAUGAAAAGUUUUAGACAUGCUCUUAGAAAAUAUUUAUUGGAGUUUUUGUUCCAGUGUGACGAAAUAAAUUUGCCGGAUGAGGCGCUAGGCGCUCUUGCUUUUAUCAACAGGAAGUCGAGACGACAGCCAUGCAUAUUUGCAAAAGAGAUACGAGAAGAGGAGGUAGAAGCUGUAUUAAAUAUAAGCUGUCAGCUAAAAGCUGUCAUUUCAAGCUUGCGCCCAUGUAUUAGUACAGAUGAUGAAUGUGCGGAUGCAUAUUUUUCCGGGUUAGGGAUCGAUGAGGAUCGUGAAAGUAAUGAUUUUGAAUUAUGUGGAAAUAACUAUUUCAUGAACUCUGUCGAUUGUGAUCAGCAAGUGUAUGGGUCUUGUUCAAAUGACAUAUUAGAGGCUACAGCGGAUUCAAGGCCUGCUUUCACUGAUUCUUUCACAAACGAUGAUUCUUUUACCCAGCUUUCCGAGGCUGUCAGAUUUUUAACUGGCAAUGUCAAAGUAAAGACUGAAUUACAGCUGGAUGCAGAUGCAGAAACUUUUGAUAAUUGUUCUGAGGUGUCGAAAAAACCAUAUGCUCAAUAUGCUUCUCAGCAAACUGGAAGUAGAAUUGAAAUGCUUCGUGAGGCUCUUACUCAUGGUACUGCUCAUAUUACAAAGAAGUGUAAAUUAGAGGAGGAUGAUCAUGUAAAAGUUUCCAGUUGCCCGGAGGAGUCAAAAGAAGUUUACCCUAAAAGUGACCUUCUGAGAAAUGUAAACCAGAGUGAAACUGAAGUCCAGGAAAUCUGCGAUGAGACUGCAUUGCUUGCCCACCGGCUUAUAGGCUGUAUGCUGGAUAAAUUUAUACAGGCAGAAGGCAGGGAAGUAGAUGAGUUGGCAAGACAUUAUCUUAGAGAUGGUUCAUCACCUCUUGUUGAUCAUCAAGGUAGGCCUUAUUAACUCUGAGGAUAUGUUUUCCAACAGGACCAAGGUCUUCCGAAGACAAUGUAACAUUUACCAUAUACAGGUUGCAAAGGCUCGUUUAAAGCUUCAAAGCAAAAUUCAAGGGCUGGCGUUCUUAUUGAUGCUGUAGAAGAUAUCCUUCCUUCUUUACCGAAAAGGUAUUCGCAUUCUUGAACUUGACAUUGUUCAGGUCUCUUUGCUUUAUCACUUUUCUUUAGUUGGCUAAUUUCCAUUUUAUUUAUUCAAUUUUUUUAAAAAAAUUUUGGUCUGUGCUGUUGUAGUUGUAUCGAAAGAUUAACGGAAUUGCUUGAGCUUCCUUAGCUGGUAUAGCCACAUCCUUUGGUUUGUUUGCAUACUUAAGGAACAACAGUACUAGUCUGGACUAAUGUCCUCCUAACUUGGUGAGUUGCUACUACAGGUUAGCUGUCUUUCUUUCUUACCAGGUUACACAUAUUAAUGGGCAUCAAAAUACAAUUUUCAAAGUUAGAUACUACACUGCCAACAUUGUAGCAGGUCUUGGUAGUGUCGUUUGGACAAAUUAUUGCAGAAAAUCUUAGCAUUAGCACAAUAAACUGAAAACAGAGGUGCUAUCUGAUAACUGCACAGGAUGAAGUAUGAGCAUCCUUGCAUGAAUUGAUGCAGCAGACUAGUUGGUGAAAUUGGUGAAAAGGAUAAGCUAUCAUCUAGAAAUUUUGGGAUGUCUUGUUUGCAUGCAUGUUCAUCUGUGUCAACCUUUACCACAUUCUGGUUCCUCUCUUUUUUUUCUUUUUUUUUUUUCGGGAAGGUGUGUCACGUAGCAUAAAAAGGAAUUUUGAAAAAUCACGAUAAUCUUGUAUCACCAACUCAUUUUGUUGGUACUUUGUAGAGAGAGUAUUAUCUUGUGAAGAAAAAGCACACUAGGCCACCUUAUUAUACAUUAAGAUCCUCAAAUAACUUUGUUUAUCAUUGCGGGACCACAAAAUGCUAAUUUCUACUACUUUUACUGAUAUCAGAUGUGCUAUAAACCUGCUCUAUUUGGUGAGCAAUUGAUCAGAGGGAGAAAUAAACGUAGUGAAGUUGCGAAACAGCUCGGGAAAUAUCUUUCUGCUCUAAAUGUGUGAGUGAUCUUCUUUGCAUAUUCUUUAUAGUGUCGCCCUUUCAUAUUUUUGGGUUUUCAUUGUCAUUGAAGCAUUCCAAAUAAGUGUCUUAGCAAUUGUAGAUGACUUGCAAGAUCUACAAAUUGUGAAUAUUCUGACUGGUUAUGCUCAAUGAUUUACUUGCAGUGAGCAUCUGUACAGCUGCUGUUUUAUUGGUACAAAAUGCUGCAGCGAGUUGCUCGUUGACCCCCAAAUGUCGCCGUUAGGAGAUUGAUUGGUCACUUCGAUAUGGUAUCUUUAAAUUUAGGUUGCCCAAAAACACUCCCUUCCUUUUGCCCUCGUUAUCUUAAUUGAGUUAUUUGAAUUGUGUUCUACCCCCUUUUAGGAUUAUAUCUACUUGAAGCUUUUAUGAUCACUUAUCCACAUCUUUUGUGGCCCCCCUCCCCCUCUAGUGGUACCUCCACUUGAGUUGAAUCACCUUUUCCUUUGAGGUUUGAUAGUGGAGUAACCGAAAUCGCAAUCACCAGCUUCCGAAGGACAUGAUAUGUUUUCCGCUCUUAUUCUCUCUCUGGAUGCUUCGGUUAUUCGUGGAAUUGCCCCACAGCUGUACAAUUUUCGACGUUCGAUGGUUGAAGAGACGACGUUUUCAGUAUUGAAGAUUCGCCAGGGAUCUACAAAUCCUGCAUUCGCAAGAUCGCUUCUUCAAAAGAGAUUUUUCUUUUGGAUUUUUAUUCUCAACCAAUAAAAGUACGAGCAUGAUCCGAUCCGCAUAUGUUUGGUGAAAAGGUUACUCUUCUCCUUUGAUCAUAGACGCAAAGUGUUUAAUCAGAAUAUGAAAAUGUGACUGUGUUGGUGUUAGCUAAAGGCUAGGUGUUUUUUUUUUUUUUUUGUUAUUGUUGUAGAUUUAAUUUUUUACUGCUUAAUAAAAGCUUGGAAUGCACCAUGAAAAUUCAAAUUAAGCCUAGUUUUGUAAUGUGGUGGCUUAAAGCACUAAUUUUGUUUUAUUUUUUCUUUUGUAUGCAAAACAAUCAGGAGGAAUGGAGGAUGAUGAAACAAUGCCAAAAGAUUGAGGGGAUUUUCCCACUCAUAUAUAAUUAGAAAAAUUGCAGGGUGUAGGUUAAUGUGAUGAGUUCUUUUUUAUUUUUUAUUUUUAAAUUCUUUAAGUUUUGUAACAGGGAUUUGAAAUAGGAUGCGUAUCCUUCAAUCAAACAUUAUGUCCAUGAGAGUACAAAACUAAUAUAUUUCUUUUCCUUGGCUAUUUUUUCAACAUAUUAUCUAACUACUAUUGACUUUUUAUCUUCAUAUUGAUUGGGACACAUCCUAAAUAGAAUGCAUGUUAGGGGCCGUUUUGUUCGCGUUAUGUAUAAUUUCUAAGUAAUGAAAAAUUAAGAAAUGAGAAAAAUUAUAUGCACAUAGCCUUAAGAGCCUACUUGAACAAUUUAUCAUUCAUUUAAUUCACACUCUAUGCUACAUGAUGUUCCUUUGCCUUUCACAUCCCACCACCAAAAAAAGAAAGAAAGAAAAAAAAAAAAGGGACAAAAAGCUUCUCCUGUGAGUUCCAUUUUACAGCAGGAGUGAUAAGCAAAGGCAAUUGAAGCCUUGAAAAACCAGAAAAUUUGAACCAACACAAGAAGAAACUUCAGAUAUCUAAACAUUACACUCAUAUCUACUUAUUCUGCAACAAAAUACAACAGAUUCAGUGCCUCUCUGUGAUGCUUCUAUUCACAUUCCUCAGUUUACUGAGGAACCAAUUCGGUUUCGAAGGAAUGGCACACAAGGCUUUGAUCCUUGAAGAAGUGCUCCUGAACAAGCCUUCUCGCGGCGCGACGUCGUCGUCGAGCUCAUCGAGCUUCAUCAGCGCCGACAGCUUCAUCUUCGGGUGGUACUUGGCGCCCGAGAUGCUCCAUUGAUCAUCCAGUAGAGCCCCCUUUCUGAACCGUCGAAUCUCCGAAUCUUCUUCUUGCUCUUGCUCCUGCUCUUGUUCUUCUUUCUCAUCUUCUGCACUCGACUUAGCGAGCAGAGCUCUUAUUCCGCGCGUAAGCUCGGCUGCACCGUCGCCAGGCAUGGCGGCACGAGCUCUUUCGUAGAAGUAGAGGACUUGAACUACGACCCUCAGCGGCAGAAUGUCGUUCUGGACGGCAUGGAUGCAGGUUUCGACAGACAGUUUUCUGCAAUCCAAUACGCGGCAUAACCGUUUCUUCGCGCUCUUAUCGAGAGCAGGGUGUGCCUGACAAGACAUCAAACUCUCAUUUCGGAUUAAUAGUUCAAAGACUAGCUAAGAUGGUAGAUUACCCGAAGGUAGAUGUCGAUUGCUCUGUAGAGAUCGUCGUGGCAUGGCCUGGCGAACUCCGGCACGGCUUCAGCGAGAGCGGUCACCUUCUCUAUUGGCAAAUUCGCGUCUUUCGCGAUCUCUGCGAGGUAACCGUCGAUGAGCUUUGUGACCUUUAGCUUGGAUCCGUGCGUCGCCGAAGACGAUCGCCGGCUAUUCUCGAAUUCUGCAUUCUCCACCGACCGCGGCCGUCUUUUCUCGCACUUGAGCUUCACUCUCAUGGGACUAGUCGGCGGGCUCUGCUCUUGGAGCAUGAAUUCCUGCAAUAUACUCAUCACUAUAUCGACGUCGUGAAGAGUCUCGAUGGCGCUCGAUCGAGAAGGGAUCAAGAGAUCGGCGACGGUCGCCUCCUCCAGCUGAACACCGACCCUCCGCGCCAAUUCCAUCUUUGAAGAUACCGAUGCAUCGAGUAUGUUCACGGCCUUAAGAAGGUUGAGUAAGAAAGAACACGAGACCGCGCCUUUCUCCGCAGGUAACAAGCUCACUACUCUCUCCAGCAGCAACCUGUGUUUCGAAGUGAUCUCCUUGAGAGACUCCGACUCCGAAUCCGAAUUCUCGGGGAUCUGCAUAAUCGGUAGCCAUUUCCGGGUGUAGAGAUACAAUGCGUCCCCAAUGAUCUUGUUUGAGACAGUUCCCGCGGAUUUUACCGCUACCAUGAUUCUCCAGUAAUGAUCGAUACCGAGUACGCAUAUGUCCUCGGCCCACCGCCCUUCCGAUGAGCUAGUCUCGUCCGCGAUCAUCAUAGCAAUCGAAUCCACGCACCGCCCGGUGAUCCGGAGCUCCUCGCACGAAGCGGCAUAUUGCCUAGUGCACUGCAGUGCCACAAGAGUGUCCUUCCAUCUCGGCAGGAUACAUGACUUGAAGAACACCUCAAUUUUGGCGAUGAGGUUGCCGCAGUCGGCCGCCUCGGUCAUCUGCAGGUACUCCGCAGCGCAGCGGACGGGCACGACGUUGGCGGCGCUGAGAGUGACGGUAAUUUCGUAGCAGAACUUCGCGCAGAUCUCGAAGGCGUCUGCGCCCCCCGGGAAGGCCGGCAGCUCGAUGAUGGCGUGAUCGGCGGCCCCUGCGGUCGAUUCUGCGGCGCAGAGUGUUUGCAGGUGCAAGCAUUUGGACAGCAGAGGGAACUGCUGAUUCACACAAGCAAUUCAACAGUACUUGCAGAGUUAUCAGACAACUCUGACAGAGUAAAAAGAUCACUACAGGAGUGUUUUUUUUUUUUUUUUUUUUUUUUACAUACCUUGUGGAGUAGAUAUAAUCUAUUUUGGACCUUGAUUUUGAGAUCAGUUGAAACUUCUGAAGAAACUGAUCUGAAUCAACCGAAAACAUGAAACAGAAACUUAGAACAAAAGAUUUAAAAAGAAGUUAGCUGAUACAAUGAUUUUUUUUGAUUACCUUGUAGCUUCUGUGGUGAUGAAGGUAUCGGGGCGAGUUCCGAGCUUCAUAAACUUCAUCUUGCUGCAGUUUUUUCAGUUCAUUCUAUCUUGAUGAAACUAAUAAGAGGAGGCUUCUCCUGGGAGUAGACACUGAGAGGCAUUUUGUAUGUUAUUGAUAUCUACAGAGAUCUCAAACCAUACUUUUGAAAAGUAUUUAUUCUCUUAAUUAGUGGAAAUAUGCAGAGAUCCCCCCAACUACUUGCAAAUCUGAAAUACGCCCUAACGACUUUACUAUGUUUUUUAACGAAAUCGUUAAUCUGAUUGUUAUCGACGACUUUAAUCGAACAAAGAACCAAAUAUAACCAAUGUGUCUCUUUUGAAAAUGGCCUAUAGUUGAGUGGUCCCUGUACAUUUUUCUUUUUUUUUUUACCUAUUCUCUUCUCUGUGUUUUUGAUAAAGGUACACAGGCUCUUGUAUUGUCUCUCUUGCAAUUAAAGUUAGAGGAGAAGUUGUUGGGUGGGAGGGGUAUUCAUGAAGGGGACAAGAGAUGAAAUGCUGAGGUUUUGCUGGGGCCUUGCUGUAAGUAGUGUGGUUCAUUGGUUAUUUGAUUAAAUGUAGAUGGGCCAAGAGAUGUGAGUGUAUUAAUUAAAGUAUUAUGGGGGACAAAUAUAGCAUGGAAUGUGUAUGUGCCAGAUCUUGUCAAUUCUGGCAAAUCACACCAGCUUGGACACUGAAACAUGAGAGAACCAUACCAGCUUGGACAUUUAAACUAAGAGAGAGAGAGAGAGAGAGAGAGAGAGAGAGAGAGUCCAUGUGUUUGUAAGAGUGUUAGUACCAUAAGCUAGAGACUUUAAAAUAGAGGAUUUGAUGGAAUUUGAACUAAAGAUCUAUCUCAUGCUCUGAUAUCUCAAACUUAUCUCUACAUGAAAUGGAGUUUUGAAUUUGAGGUGCAAAUAAACAUUUUCUUCCUAACUGCUCACCUUCAAAGGGGGAUUUGGAAAGUGAGUAGCCUUAAAAGGGCACUAUAUGGGGGGUAGAGUGCUAGCGUCAUUUUCCCUCUCGUGGUGGGUUAUCUAGUUAGAGCGGAAUAGAAGAAUUUUUGAGAAAUCAAAACGCUCGUCGGGUUACUUGCUGGCGGAGAUUUAGUCUCUCAGGAUAUUAUGGGGAUCGCUACUGCAUUCUUUCUAACUCCUGUUGAGCCGAGUUCAUUCUCUGAUUCAGAUUCAAUAGAGUGAUAUAUAGCAUGCUACUUUGUUCUCAAAAACAAAAAAAAGAAAAAAAAAAUUGAGGUGCAGAAUCUCGUGAUCAACUUCUCAUUAUUCGCUUUUCAAAACAAUGAAAAUGAUGCGGUACGUUCUAUUUGCGAUAUACUUUACGCGGUACCAAAGAGGAAAAUAAAUGAGAAAAUCGCUACGUAGUUAAUAUAAAUGUCAACUGAUCAAAGAAUUAGGAGUUUGGUGUUUUAUAUUUCUAACCCAAGAGUUUCUUGCAUAAUCUUCCACCAAAAUGGGUUGGAACAUAAGUGUGUCAAAGGUAACUUCUCACUCCAGUAUCACAAUACUUAAACACCAUAGUUUAACAUACGAAAAUACUAACUAAAGCCAUCAACUAUUUAUAGAAUAUACAAUAUUUUUUGUGACCAGCUGUAUCAUACAUAGUUGGUUAAAAAUUUAAUAGUUCAUACUCCACGUCUUAAUUUUGAAGUCUAAUUACUUUAUUUAUUUUUAGAUGAGUUUAUUGCUAGAAAAAAAGAAAGACAAUAUGUUUUGUCAGACCAUGUAACAUCACCCUCCUAUGUUUCUUCUUCCAUCAAUUGCCUUAAAUGUAUUUGUACCUGUUUUUCUCUAUUGCUUCAGGUGGGAGAAUAGUUAAAAGUGGAACUAUGAUUUUUAAUUACAUGAUCACCACUUCUUUAUGGGGAGAAUAGUUAAAAGUGGAACUAUGAUUUUAAUUACAUGAUCACCACUUUUUUAUGUCCUUUAUUGGUAGUAGUGCAUCAAUUCAUCAUCAUGAAUACAAUUUCUUGCACCCCCCUUUUCUCUCCAUCCCAUGUCAAAAUGUAGUAAGGAAUUGUUUGACUAAUCAAAAAGUUAAGUGUAGCCAAAGGACUUUUGUUCUGCUCCAUUGGAUCAAGUGCCUCAAAUAGGCAUCUAUUCCAAGGAAUAAACUGCACAAAAAUAAACAAAUCUCGGGUAAAAUAUAUUGAUAGUCCCUUUAUUAUCCAAAUCUCGCAACUUAGCUUAUCUACUUUUCCAUAAAUACAUAUAUUAUACAUAAUUUAAUUUUUAAUUAGUGAAAACAUCUUCUCUUUUUUUUUUUUUUUAAUGUAAUAACCAUUUUCUCUUAUUUCACCGUACAUUCUAUCUAAAAAUUUACGAUAAAAAAUAUACUAAGGCUCUGAGAAGAACCGCUGAUUAGUUCAGUAAUUCUUAUCUUAGGAUGUAUUUUUAAAUGUGUAGUUACAAAAUAUGAUCUCUGAUUUUUUCCUACAGAUAAUACUUAAAAAAAUAGAAAUAAGAAAGCGAGUUCCAUAUAUUUUAUCUAAAACUCUAUGAUAAAAAAUGUACUAAGACUCAUAGAAGAACCACCGAUUAGUCCAGUAAUUCUUAUCUUAAGGUGUAUUUUAAAUGUGUAGUUAUGAAAUUUGAUCUCUGAUUUUUUUUCUGCAGGUAAUACUUAAAAAAAUGAAAAUAAGAGAGAGAGUUCUAUAGUAAAGUUCUCUGUGCCCUUAGUACUAAUAUUUACUCAUUGGUAGAAUAUACUGUACAGCUAAAAGAGAAAAGUGAACAUCAAAACCCAUCAUUUUUGAAAGAUACUACACAUGGCCACUUUGCUUGCUUAAGGAAACAUGCUCUUAAUCCAUACACGUAUUCAAUACGCAAACAUCGUAUAAAACUCCAUGGACAAUAAAAUACAACGGCCCCAUUGAUUAAAGUGUCCUCUCCAUUAAAUACAAAUUUUGUGAAAGGGACAGUAAGGGUCCACAUUGCCAUUAAGAAAUGGAGGGCUAAGGAAAGUGGGAACAAGGCAUAAGUUUAAUACGAAUAUAUUUUUUUGGCCAAUUUGCAUAAAAAAUUCACUAGUUUUGGACUUUUGCAAAAUUGGAACACCUUUUUUGUUUUUGCAGAUUCGGUCCGAAUUUUCAGCAAACUGAUCAAAAUACUCUUAUUAUUUUUUCUCUCUCCUUUUUUUUUUUCUCUCGUUCUUUUUUUUUCUCUCUCCAAAGAGCGCAGCGAUGGCGGAGGCGGAGGCGGAGGCGGAAACAACCCGUCUCGCCUUUGUAGUGUCCCUGAGCUUUGGAUAGAUUUGGCUUCAGUAUUAGUGACUGGUCGACACAUCUGGAGAGUGUCGGAUUGAGUUGGAGUCGUUCCUGCGCGAAAUGGAUGCAGAAAUGGACUCGGCACACUCAAUUAAGCAAAACUGGAGUUUUGCCAGAUUCGGGCGCCCAGAAUAGGUCUUGGGUCGCCCAGAAGUUGAGUGCAGAGGAAGAAGAAGAAGAAGACAAAGAGAAAAAAAAAAAGAAAUGAAAUAGUGCAAAAUAUUUCUAAAUGGUGCAAUCUUAAUCUAAAAAGUGUAAAAUCUAUUUCAAAAGAGUGUAAUUUAUAUAUCAAAUAGUGUAAUUUUCAUUAAAACAGUGCAAUUAUUUUUUAAACUAUGUAAUUUUAUUUUAAGAGUGCAAGUUUCACAUUUUCUUUCUUCUUCUAUAUUUUUUGAUUUUUUCUGUUGGAAAAAAAUAAUUUUUAUUUUUAUUUUUUAUUAUUUUUAUUUUUUUCUAUAAUUUUUUUUUGUCACCACCUCUUCCUUGUUUUCUAUCGUAACCACCGCGACGUGGACGAGAAGAGCUUGCGUCUCGACGUCACCGUGCCCUAGUGAAGAAGAACGGUGGCGGCGCGGCCUCAGCAGGGUCGGAAGCGAGGAAGGCGGGGUUGCACGGGCGAGGGUGAGGGCAUGCGGGGCGGAGGCGAGGCAGGCUGUUUCCGCCUCCGCCUUCGCCAUCGCUGCGUUCUUUAGAGAGAAAAAAAAAAAAACGAGAGAAAAAAAAGAGGAGAGAGAAAAAGUAAUAAGGGUAUUUUGGUCAGUUUCCUGAAAAUCUGGCCUGAAUCUGUAAAAACGAAAAAGAUAGCCCAGUUUUGCAAAAGCAUAAAAUAAGUGAAUUUUUUAUGCAAAUUGGCUAAUAUUUUCGGUGAUAUCUUUUCUUUUUUCGCACUAUUUGUUCCAAUCAAGACGUCACGGACUACUCGAGCUUUCAAAAAAAAAAAAUUUUAAGACACAAAUACCGUAUAAAAACCGCUAAUAAAAUAAAAUAUUAUUAAUAUAAUAAUAUAUAUUUUUAAUAUAUAAAAUAUUAAGUUUAGUAAAAUAUUAUUGCAUUUCUUAUACAAGUGAAAUGUAAUAAAAUUUUUAUUGAUAAUUUGUAUUUUUUUUAAAAAAAUAUUUCAUCAUACAUAAAUUAUUUAUAUUGUCUACAAAAUUUAUAUACAUUCAUUAAGAAGACAAAAUAUUUAUCAUCUUAUGUUAUAUAUAUGUGCAUAAAAUAAAGUACAAUAAAAUAUAUAUAUUUUCAACGGGAUGCAGUGGACCCGCAUCGAAGGCGCAUCCAUAUCGUGUCCGCGGCAGACACGAGUCCAAUAUGAACAUGCACUUGUUCUACAUGGACAUACGAGAUUUCUAAAAGUAUUAGUGAUACAUAAAUUUCAAUUAUACAGGGUUACAAUAAGUAAUUUCUAAUGCGUUCAUAUCAUCUUCGAAAUAUGGAUAGAUAAUUUACAAGAACGAAAAGAGCCACAAAUGUUUGGUUCACAACAAGCAAAGGCCAGACAAAUAAUUAAGUAACCUGGUCCAACACCAAACCCUGUCCAAAGCUAGUGGAAAAGCAAAGUAAUAUUUAAUCAGAUGAUUCCUCUCACUUUUCUCAACAAAAAAGGGGAAAAAAAAAAAAAAAAAUCGCCGCUUCGUUUAAAAAAUAAAUAAAUUUAGCUGAAAAAUAUAAAUCGACUAGAAUUUGAACUUAAAAAUCUUAUAUUAGUCGGAUUGGUAGCAUACUGGUGGGUAAUUUGGAAGGUCAGGAACAAUAUGAUCUUUAGGAAGACCCAACUCCUCCUUUGCAGUUUACAAGAUUAAGCAGCUGAUGAAUCUAUGGGAGCAAUUGCUAUCAGGUAAUCAACGACAUGCUUGUAGUCGGUAGGUUUUCUUUUUGUUUUCGUUUUUAUUUUUCUUCCGCCCCCUCCGAGGCCUAUGUUGUCUCACCUCUGUAGUUUAGUUCAUCUUUUCAAUAAAUGAAGCGGAUAACGUACUAUUUAUUUCUAAAAAAAAAAAAGAUCAUAGAUUAUAAACUACCAAGUCUUUUGCUACUUGCGCUAGAAACAAUCAGUUUCAUUUGUAUCUUGUUACUUAUAUUCUAUUUACGGUUGACAUAAUUAGAAUUUUAAUUGUUUUUGAUCUACAAUUUUACAUGCUAGAGCUACCAAAAGAGGUGAAACAACCAAUUAUGCUAAAAAUUGAAUUGAUUAGAAAGCUAAGGCCCAAUACAUUUUUGUAAAUUCGAAACAUGAUUUAGAUCGAAUGAGAGAAAAUUAAGGGAGAUAAAGAACCUGAAAAACUUGGAACUUUCGAUCUCCUACAGUGAAUGAGAUAAAGUUUAGUAUAUUUUUGAAUUCUGAAUCUCUUAGUCUCAUACAAUAUAAGAUAAUCAUUUUAAAAUUUUAGAGUGAUAUGGAAUAGUAUUUUACUAAUUUGUAUUCAACAACAUGCAAAAGGAUAUUCGGUUGUUGAGGUGUUGCUUAUGUCAUUUACAUAUUUAAAUGGAAGUUUGCAAAAUAACAAAGGAACAAGAUGUUGAUCGCUAGUUAUAUUUAGUGCAUAUUAAGUACUCUAUAGUUAAAAUGUAUUAAGUUAUUAUUUGUGAUUUUAUUCUUAUCUUUUUGUAAACUUCUUCGUUAAUAUUUUAUUAAAUUAUAUACAAAAAGUUUAAGAUACUCCAUCUAAAUUUGUUGAAUAUUUACUUUGAUAUUUUUUAGUUUUAACUUUGUUACUGAUUUAAUGAAAAAAAAUAGUAAAAUCGAUAAUAAAAAGAUAAAAAUAAAAUUACAGGAAUAAAAAAAUUCAAAAUAUAUAUGAGUUCUACAUGAAUAGUAUUUUAAUACCCUAUACUUUAAACUAUAUGGUAUUAAAAUAAAAAAGUGUGAAACUAUAGGAAUAGUAUUUAAAGUUUUUUUUAAUAUAAAUAUAUAUGAGUUCUAUGGGGAUACGCGAUACUUAAAAAAAAUUCGAAGAACAAAAAAAAAAAAACCGCAGACGUAAACCGCCCGAACCGGACGCGUUGGACCAAGGGCAAGGGGGGGUCAACUAGAAGUUCCCCGCGUAAUGGAAAUUAUUGCAUGAACAAGGUGUAGGCACCGCACCAAUUAAAUUCUAUAGCACAAGCAAGAAUUUAAGUGCCGUGGUACGGGAUCGUGUCGGAAACUUACCGGUAUGGUAUGACAUGAUGCGUGCCGAGCCGUACCGAUACAUGCUGGUCAAAAAAUUUCUUGUGUGUCGACACAUAAUAGCAUGAAAUAUUUAUUUUCUUUAGCAAUAAAAUAUUUUAACUAUUUAUUAUUCUUUUUAUCGCAUUUUUUAAAUUUUAUUGAGAAAAUUACUUACUAAUUUAAAGAAUAGAGGGUUUUGAUCUGUGCCAUCUGUACGGGAUCUGUAUCGUGUCGGUAUCUUGUUGACACCGUACAGCACGGUGGAUACGGUCCGUGCCGACUGGCACUUAAAAUCUUGAGCGCAAGUCCCAAAUCUAUUUUAACUUACUAUUUUGUUACGCGAGUUAUGUAAUAAUAAAAAUAUAGAGAAAAAAAAAUUCAGUAGAGAGCUCUCCAAAGAUGCCUCUUGUUACAGAGUCUCAAUCAGUAGAUGUCAUUUUUAUCUCUGUCCAUAGAAUUAUAAUUUUUCUUAUUAAAAUUUUAGUAUUAAAAAAUAUUCAACGAACCAUGAAGGCAAAACUAACAUGUGGCACAGAUCAAGAGCUCCCCACCGUAGUUUUAUCUAAAAACAUAUACAUAAUAAAACUUAUAGUUUUUUAAAAUUAAUUAUUUAUAUUUUUCAGAUAAAUCAUUUUAAUUCAACUAAUUUAAUAUUUCAAAAAUUUUAAAUUUAAUAACCAAUAUUUUAAUUCAUUCAAUUUAAAUUAUUUAAUGACUCUUUUGAUAUAAACAUUUAAGCUAAUUACUUAUUCUAAUAAAAUUAAAACUAUAAAAAUAAUAUAAAGUAUAUACUAAUUAAAUUUGUAAAGAUAAAUGAUCCAUUCAAAUUUUAAAAUUAAAGAGUUAUUAACUCACUCAAAUUAAGUAAAUUAAAAAAUUAGAUAGUAAAACUUAAAUUUCUAAAUAUUAGAUAAUCAUAUCAAAAUAGGGGGCCCUUGUGAUUGCGCACAUUUUUAUCUAUAUUUUUAAUUGAAAAAAUUCAGUGAUUAUGUGGUGCAUGAAAUUAUUGAUAUAUACCCGGUACGUGUGGUGCAUGCAAUGUUAUUUCUACCUGACUAUGAGUGCACCGCAUACCCAGAUUGCACCCGAAACCCACCAUCACCCGCUUCCAUUGAUUUGACCCACCAAAGCUGCGACCAAAGCGUACCCCAAAUCGCUCCCUCCCACCACUACCACCACCACCACCAUCGUCGUCGCCAUGGAUCGCCACCACCGCACAUGGCCCUCCCCCUCCUCCGCCCCCCACUUCGCCUCCCUCCACCCUCGCCGCCCCCAACACCACCACAAGAGGCGUAAACCCACCACCCUCCUCGAUCCCAAACCCUCUCCUCCUCCUCCCCCUCCCCCUGCAUCGUCGUCGUCGUCGUCCUCCAACUUCGGAGACCUCCCCUUCGACCUCCUCGCGCGCGUCGCCGCCGCGCUCGACGCCCGCGACCUCCGCGCCGCGAGCAUGGUGUGCCGCGCGUGGGGCCGCGCGCUGCGGCCGCUGCGCGAGGCUGUGGUGCUCCUCCGACGGGGCAAGCGCUUCAAGCACGGCCGCCGCCAUGGUCGACGUGGGGCUGAUGUAUUGGGAGAUGGGGAACCGGGACGAGGCGAGGGAGAUGUAUAGGAAGGCCUCGGAGCUAGGGCAUCCCGUGGGGCAGUGCAAUCUCGGGCUUUCUUACUUGGAAGGUAUUCCUGAUGCUACCGAAUUGUUGCAUAUGAUUGCCGAAUUUCGUACAAAUGAUAGAGCUUUGAAGUGUUUUUUUGAUGAUCCGAAGAUCAAUUCACUGUUUGGAGACCUAAAGCGCAUGAUUAGAGGAGAGUAGCAAUCCAGUUUUUCUAAAAAUCAACUUUUUGAAAUCUUCUAAAUUUUUUUGGGGAAUUGAAGUGAUUCCAUUUGAUCAGGAGAGAUUUUAGUACGCGCAAUUAAAAUCUGUUCUGGAGAGUGGCAGAAACUUCUUUAACUUCAAAUGUUGACAAUAGGAUGAAUUGAAAUACGCGAUUGAUCUGUUUGGGCAGGUUGAUCAGGACCUUCUCUUUUUUUUUUCGAUUCUCUUGAGUUAAUUGUUAGAGUAGUUCAGCCCAUAGUUAAAAAGAACACAGUUCCAUUUGUUCGUAGAAUAGAAACUGGAAUGUAGAACUCCACUUGUGCUGGAACAUGAUUGGACGACGGUGGACUUAUUUGAUUAGCUCAUGAUUUGAUUGUUCAUGCAUUGGUCUAUAGAUUGUAGCUAAAAGUAUUUAAGAACAAGGGAUUACCUUGAUCAUCUCUUGGUGCACCAUCUUAGGAACCUCUAGUAACAUUUCUCGACCUGUUAAUAUUGUCGUCUUUGUCAUGCACUUUUCGUGCUAAGAUUUCCGUGCAAUUGAUUGACAUCCCAAUCCCUUACAACUAUUUAUUGUAAUGUCGUUGUUUUGAAUUGUGUAAUUUGCGCUGGUCUUCUUCCCAUGUUACUAUUGUGUAAACUUCAAUCGUCCUUUUCUAACUAACUAAAUGAGAGAACAUAUGAUAGUAUGCUCAUUAGCUUUUCAAUUGUCUCUAACUUUAGACCUUGCCAACUUUUUUUCAUUCCAUAGGUAUUUCGUCCUUGCUUCUCAACAUUCAUUGCAGCGAAUGUAUUGAUAAUUGCUUUGAUAAGAGUAUAUGUCAAAGACAUUAGAACUGGUUCUAUGAACCUCUCUUUUUACAGCUGAUAUGCUGAAGCUGGAGGAAGCAGUCGAAUGGUUUUAUCAAGCAGCUAAAUCAGGAAAUGCGCGUGCUCAAUAUAACUUGGCACUCUGUCUGCACAAGGGUCGUGGAGUCAAGUGCAAUAUGAAAGAAGCUGUAAGUUUUCUGCCCUCUUGAUGUCUUACCCCUUACUCAUUUUUUGUUUUAAGAGAAGAUUUCUUCUUACCUCUUUGUUUCUUGUUGUCUUUUCACCCGACUUUAUUAUAAAUGAUCGACAGUGCAAGUUUAGCUGUCUGGACUAUUGAUAUGCUCCUGCUGCUGCCUAAGCCUUGAAGUUUCUUUUUUUUUUUUUUCUUAGCAUGUAUUUACUGUAGAAUAUUCAAAAUGCCUUUUAUUACACUGACUCAUCCAGGUGCUCUGACCUUAACAUUCGUUUAAUUUAGUCAUUGGUUAUGGAAUAUAUCACCAAUAUACAAUAAUUUUAUAACGAGACAUGGUGAUUCCUGUUGCUUCUCACUAUUUAUCAUGCACUGUAUGAUGUUUCCAUUCGGCUACUGUCGAGUAGUCAGAGUCUCUUAGUUUCAGGAAUUAUCUUUUCUUACGAUCCCUCUUACCUUUUGCUGAGAAUUAUAUUAGGGUUAAACUCUUAGUAGGAUGCGUAAUUUUAAUAGAGAUUGCUUCCUUCGAUUUGCGAUAAGCGAAUGGAUAGUUAAUUCGUUCCCUGUGACCGCAAUCGCGCAGGAAUUUUCUUUUUCGGAGAAGGACCGAGUUUCUAUCUCUCCCUAGACUAGCCCUUAGGGGAUAGUUGAGCCCAAACAUUAGCUCAUUUUUAUCUCCAACAUCAGUUAAUAUUCUUUAUGUUUCUUCAUACUCUAGUAAAAUUUGUUGUUAUGCUCUUCUUCCAAACUCUCCGCAACGCAAUACAGUAUCAAAUUCCAGCUGAUGCAACAGUUGUAUAGAUGGCUAUCCAUGCUUGUAUCUGCACCAUUGUGGCAUAUUUGCCUGCGAUAAUGGGAAUAGAAAGAAUGUUCCACUGGGAAGUGCCAACCGCUUUUGUUGCGUCCUACUUCGGAUAGGCCAUGUGAUGUUAGUACCUGCUUCUCUUGGUUGUUAUAUUGCUACUGGGCAACAAACAUCCAAGUAACAGCCCUAUUUGUUCGCAAGUGGUAAGAUGUCUUUUUUGAUGAACUGUCCAUCUUAUUUAUACUGUAGCACCAUCCUGCCGCUGCAUUUGUAUUAUGAUAGUGUCAAUAUUUAUGAGCUUUCCGUAUUCGAUCUUCAAAAUUUAUGUUGCAUAACUGUUUGCUUUGUAUUGCAACCCUGGAUGAAGUUGUGAAACUGAGAAAAAUGUACAUAUUCAGGCAAAAUGGUACUUGCAAGCUGCAGAGGGAGGGAAUGUCCGUGGAAUGUAUAACACUGCCUUGUGUUAUUCCUCAGGUGAAGGAUUCCCGCAAAACUCUAAAUCUGCAAAGACUUGGAUGAAGCUUGCGGCGGACUGCGGCCACCGGAAAGCUCUAUAUGAGCGCGGCAUCGAGCUAUUCUCGGUAUGUUGUGAGACCAUUCUAAUGUUGCCUUUACUAGAGUAUCUAUUUUCUGAAGCAUAUUGUAGAAAUGUGUCUAGCAUGUGUUCUUUUUCUCCUCCAAAUAUGUUAUUGAUGUCUAGAACUUUAUCGGAAGCAGGGCUGCAGGAGAGAUCAUUGAUUUUCUUUCCAGAUUUGAGAAUCAGGGAAAAAACAAAAUUCAUUGUUUUCUUUAGCUUGCACUUUUCUUACAUUGCUUGACAAAGUGUGAUACUCCAAUAGUCUGGAUAAUAUGGGGGAUUGUGAGAGCUUGUAUGUGGCUGGCACUCUAGUACUAAUAACCGAGUUUAAUCAUUUUGGACGAAUGGUUUGAACUUAACGAGUUAUUAGUGUUAGUAGACUGGGUUGUUGAUAUAUUCUUUUCUCUUGAUAUUGUGGAUGUUGCUAUAAGUGGUAGUACGAUUGCUAGUAUGAUGGACAUGGAUUCACCUUGCUUUGAAACGUCCCAUAUAUUUGCAUAAAUGCUGAUGCAUUGUCUGUUGCUUGUUACCAGUCGAAGGAUUGGACGAGGGCUCUCGUGUACCUGGAACUGGCUACGCGAGCAGGAGAAACCGCUGCUUCACAUACGAGGGAUGUGAUUGUUGAAUCACUCCCACCGGAGAGACGAGAGGAGGCCCUGCAAUUGGUCGACAAAUGGAAGCCACUGCAGUUUCAUCGCCGAGUUCAUAAAACUAAUUGUUGACUAACUUCCUGGAAAAAAUCACGGAUAGUUACAAUUUUCUGGGCGCGCCUUUUCACACUGUAAAUAAGCUGUAUAAUUGAUGCCCUACAACCGAUGUAAUUAACCCUUUUUUUUUUAUGUGGAGACUUGUUAUCCCAAGCAUUAAGCAAGCAUUGUAGAAGCUUCUUAAAGUAUCAUGGUGGUAUGUUGGGAAGUUGUGGGGAUUAACUUGAUGUAAUUUUUAUGUCCAGGAACAGGGCUUCUUUGAGAAUACUCAAAUAUUUAAUCUUCUCAAUUUUCAAAUUAGAGUUAUUUUCGUUUGGUUGGAUAGUGGAUAUAUUUGUCUCAAGGAAUGCUUUCCACAAACUAUAUGCAGGUGUAAAUUUUACACUCGUAGUAUAAGAUGUUUUCAUAAUAGUAUUGUUGUUUGCUUCUGUUCAACAAAUAUUAAAAAGAUGAUGCCACUUUGAAAUAUGGUAAUCCUCUUAUUGCAGCAAAUUUAGGACCGUUGGAUGGAAAAAAUUGAGGAUUUAGAUUGGCUUGUUGAACCAAAACAUCUUCACUAGUAUUAUAGGUACUCCUCAACUAUAAAUUUUUCAAUUGAGGACAAAUCAACUUCUAAUUUCAUUUUUAUUUUUAUUUUUAUAUUUAGUUAAAUUAAAAUGACCAAAAAUAAUUAAAAUUAUUAUAUCCGGCGAAAUUGCUAAUGAAUUUAAUAAAAUUUAUAAGUAAAAAAUGUGUAAAGACUCAAGCUUUUUAAUUUAUAUAAUUUUUUUUAUAAUUUUUUUCCUUCACGUAUGUCUUUAUAAAAUAAUUUAAAUUACUAACAAGUUCUUACAAAAAUUUAAAUAACAGAUAAACUAAUUUGCAUUAUUUUUAUUUAAAUUAAUUUUUUAAAAAAUUAUUUAAUAUAAUAAUUAAGAGAAUAAAAUAAUCUAUAUAUUUUAAUUAAAAAAUUAUAUUUAUCCCUCUUUUUGUCUGAGUUCUAUGACUAUUCCAUCAAUUUUUUAUAAUUUAUACCAAAAAAAUCCUUCAAAAUAGCAGAAAUAUAUUAAAAAAAUUAUUUUUUGAUUAUAAAAAGAUAAGGAUAAUUUGGUUAUUUUAUUCUCUAUAUUAAUUUUGUGCCUCUUGAAAAUAUUUUUAAAAUUUUAAGAAAUAAAAUAUAAAUUAUCAAAAGUUAGGAAGAGAGUGUGAAAAAAUAGGUAUAUACUGUAAUUUAGCAAAAAAAAAAAAAAAAAAAAAAAGAGGCGGAGGGGGCGAAAUUCGGGUUCGGAUGCCGUACUCUCCGGAAACCGUUCGAUCCGUUUUUUCGACCCGGCGAUCCCGAAAAGCCCUAGCUCCAUUCCAGCCCUUUAAGUACAUUUCGUCUUCUUUCUCCGCCGCCGCCGUGCCCAAACCCGCCCAAACCCUAACCCUAAUUAAAGUAGGUAGGUAGGCGAGGCAGGCGAAGAAGAAGAAGAGAGAAGAGAGAGAGACAGAUCGGGCGGCGGCGGCGCGAUGAAGUACAACCCGCGCGUGUCGAGCUCGCGGCGGAAGUGCCGGAAGGCGCACUUCUCGGCGGCGUCGAGCGUGCGUCGGGUGCUGAUGAGCGCGCCGCUGUCGUCGGAGCUGCGGAGCAAGUACGGCGUGCGGUCGAUGCCGGUGCGGAAGGACGACGAGGUGCAGGUGGUGCGGGGCACCUUCAAGGGCCGCGAGGGCAAGGUCGUCCAGGUCUACCGCCGCAGGUGGGUCGUCCAUGUCGAGCGCAUCACCCGCGAGAAGGUCAACGGCUCCACCGUCAACGUCGGCAUCGUCCCCUCCAAGGUCGUCCUCACCAAGCUCAAGCUCGACAAGGACCGCAAGGCCCUCCUCGACCGCAAGUCCCGCGGCCGCGCCGCCGACAAGGCCAAGUCCAAGUUCACAGCCGACGACGUCGCCGCCGCCGCCGCCGCCGCCGCACCAUCCCUCCAGGAGGUCGACUGAUCCCCUCCUCUAUUACGGUCUAGGGUCCUCUUCCCCUUUUUCCCCUCCUCUUCUUCUUCUUCUUCUUCUUCUUCUUUUUUCCUUGAUGAUGAAAUUGCGUUUGUUGAACUAUGCCUGCUCUUUUGUGGAUGGAUUCGCUUGCCUAGGUCUUGAUCGUGCUUUUGAAUUUACUAUGAACUAUGAACUAAGAAUUUAGAGCGAGUCUUGUUUUGAGCAUCUCAUUCUGGUGCUCGGCUUGGAUUGAAGUGUGUAACAACCCUGAAGAAUAAAGGGUAGAAGUCGUAGUAGUAUUAAUAGUUAGAUGUAGAAGAUGAGUAAAGGUAGCAGCUUUACUAGCUAGAAGAAGAAUAAGUGACAGCAGGGGGUGGUGAGGAGUGAGCUCGGCGGAGCGAUCCGACGGUAAGGCGCUCGAGCGGAACUCCGGCGGGAAGGCGCCUUCGAAGGNACCUUUGGAUAUAGCAGAGAAUAGGAAGAUUUGUAAUGUGCCAUUUUGAUUUGGGAAAGAGAAAGAGCAUUGGAAUUGUAUGUUUAUGUUUAUUAACACAUAAGUGCUACAUGUGAAAUUGAGUAAGGCACGCCAUAAAUGUGACCUCUUUAUGAACAAGUAUGCCAAAUCGCGCUCAAUUAUAGCAUGUGUCGAAUUUGGGAAUUGCUUAAUCUGGCUCAUCCUGUCGCUCCUUUUUUGUUACUGUUUCCCCCACACCCUUUUUCCCCGUUUUGAAGAGCCAUUAAAUUGCUCUUUUAUUGGUGGCUCUAAUCUGAUGAUACGAAGGGCGAAAUAUUCGUAUCAAAUGUGUUAAUGAAGUGUGAACUUUCAGGGGGAAAUUUGUAAUGAAUCCUUUACACAAAUCUCCAUUCCUGUGUUAAUCAUGUUUGUUAUAGUUAAGGAUGCAGGGUCAGUAAAGCUUCUUGGGAUGUGAAAACUAUUAAAACACCUGUGGAACCUACCGCAAUUAGUCAUCUGGGGCCUACAUUCCAUUAUUUUGGCGAGUCUCGGAGACCCUUCUAUGUGCAUGCAUUGGGAUUCCAUAUUCAAUUUUCCUCGCCUACGCGGAAGCAGCAGAAGAAACAAAGAAGGGAAGGUUGUUUCCUGUCUCCUCACUCUCUUUUACCAUAUUAAUCUCCUCGUCAUACACUUUUCAAUGUCGUGGUGUGGGUCAACAAUUAUUGUGUUUACAUGAACAUGCCUUUCUCUGAGUUUCUCUGUUCGCACAUCAAGAGAGCUGCUUCUGAAUUGUUAUCUCUUUCUUCAUGUGUAACGACCCUGGAGAAUAAAUGGUAGAGGUAGCAGUAGCAGUAGUAAUAGUUAGCAUGGGAGAAUAGUAAAAAUAGCAACUUUACUAGUUAAAAUGGAGAAUAAAAGUGGCAGCAGCAGAAUGGUGAAGGAGCGAGCUCAGUGGGGUGAACCGGCGGCAAGGGCGUUCAGGCGGAACUCAGGCGGGCGACGAGGAAGGGUGGCGCUGCGGCCGCGGCAGCCUUCCCAGCGACUGUCUCCCUCAAGAAAGCGAAGGCGCCGGCCGCGCUCUGGAACCCGCCGCAGGCCUGCUUGAGCCUUGCGGCGAUGGUGCGAUCGGCGGCGUGGGCGAUCUGCGAGUAGACGGCGGCAGUGGGGGAAAUGGGAGGAACGCGAAGGGAGAAGGAGGUCCGACAGCAUCUACGGUUGGGGAAGAUGGAAGCCUUGCGGGUCGGAUGGGCAGAUUUCCGGAUCGGAGGCAAAACGCGAACCCAAGACCCGCCGGCAAUGGAUAGUGCGGAGAAGGCGAACCCGCAACCCGCUUGCCCGUUUACCAGACAACUUCGGACCGAACAAGCCCAGCGGAGGCCCAGCCUGCGAGUGAAUCGCGGCCCAGCCUGCUCUCACCCAGUUUACAUAUUGCUGUUUAGCCCUUAUAGGAUAGUUUACUUUAAUUUCAAUACCAGUUGUAGAGGAAUAUAUCUAACAGAAUGUCAUGAGAAGAUCAUAAAUGAAAAUGAAAUAGUCUAUUUCUCCCCCAAAGGUUCUUCUCCAAACCCUUCUUCUUCUCUAUCCCUUAUCUCUAUCCCAACUCUUUUCCCUAACCCUCACCUCUCAAUCCUCAUCUGUCUAUCUCUCUACCUCUAUUUCUCUUCUCUCUAUCUCAAUCCCAAUUUCUAUCUCUAUUUUCUUACCUCUCUAGCCUCGGUUACCGACUACGUUACCUCCGAUACGCGACCGGAAGGACCAAGAACCUGAUCCGAGCCAUAAGGGAUAUUACAAUUGGUAUCAGAGCGGCACUGUCCCAGGGCCGUGGGCGGCGGGAAUUCAACAGGAGCAAGAACGUUGGAGUUUCAGCAGCUGUGAGGAAUUACGUCGAACAAUGGAGGCGCAACAGGUAACAUCAUCCAAUUAGCAUAAUUAAGCAACAGAAGGCUCACACGAGGGUGUACGGAGGUAGUAGCAAGGACUAGUGCUGGUUCUAUUGCAAUUAGAACAGCACCAGGCCUCAGGCAAGCAUCUUUGGCACCUCGGCCGAAUUACUGUAGCAGGUGUUAAUUCCAGAUCAAACAAGAGUGAAGCAAUCAGUAGCGUCCAGGGGCAACAAUUGCAAAAAAGAGCGAAAACCGAUUCAAAUUCGAAACCAAGAGAAGUGAGAUCCCAGGGAUCGGUGCUGCGACAGUCGCGUGAUUCCGAUUCUUAGAAUUGUAGAGUCAAUUGCGACAUAGCUACCUGCGCUGCGAGAAUCGGCUUCGGCUGGAUCUCGACAAAAGGGGCCGCAGCGGAAUCACACUGAUUCUGAGUUUUACACAGUUCUAGCAGAGCUAAUUUCUGCUCAAUUGUGAAGCUCCCACCUGGUACCUGCGAAUAAUUCUCAAGCAGGUAGAUCCCACAUUGUAUAGCUUAGCAAAAUUGGGUCAACACGAGGCAACAGAUCUAAAUUCACUAGUAGCUUGUACAAGGCAAGAGAAGAAUUAGUUACUGUCCAGGGAUGGUAGGCAAAAUGGCUAUUGGAACAAAGUGGCAGCAACAAACUACUAGUUAUAACCAAAGCUUUGAAGGAACGUUGCAAAUUGCUAGGGAUUUCAAUCAGAAUUUAGAUAUUUUGGCGCAAAGGAUUGAAACCCUGCGGAAGGAAGAGGCAAGGAGGUACGAAAUUAUGAUGGAGGAGGAGGCCCGAAGGCAUGAACAACUCCUAGAGUUGAUUAGAAGCCGAUUUGUACAUGCUAAAGGGAAAGGGACAGUAGUGCAAGUUCCGAUAGAAAAGAAACAUCGGCAACAGUACAUGCCAUACAUGGAGAUAAGUUUCCCAGAUUUUAACGGAACAGAUCCAAAAGGAUGGUUACGAAAUUGCGAGCAGUAUUUUGACCGAUACCAAGUUCCUGAGCAACAAUGGAUAGGCAUAGCGUCCAUGCACAUAGAGGGUGAUGCACGGUUUUGGAAGCAAGCAUAUUUCUUUAACCGACCAGAGGUAAAUUGGGGCGAGUUUUCCGAUGCCAUUUGUAAAAGAUUUACAGCGACGAAAGAGAGGUACCCAACCCAAGAGUUUAGUACUUGCAAGCAAACCAAUUCUAUAGAGAGCUGCCAAAAGAAUUGUGAAGCCGCAAAGAGAUCUGAAACUAUGGUGCAGGAGGAUGAUCACAUACAUGAAGCUGGAAGUGCAGGAUCAGAGAAAGAGUGUGAUGAUUAUCUACAGUUGGAGAUCAAUAGAAAACCAGAGAUAGCAUGGAGCGAGCGUGCUAGCAAGCCAGAGGAGCUGCUGAAGCUGCUCGCAGCACAGCCACCUCUACUCAAGCCUGCUCACAAUGCCCCAAAUGCAUACACUACUUCAGCUGAAACUGAAAGUACCAUAAAAGCUGUUGCCAAUACGACUCACAAUUCCGAAGAGAGUCUUAAUCUUAAUCUUGAAGAAGGGCCUGCACCAAGUGAGCAAACAAAGAUGCAAGGGCUGUGCAAUGAAUACGGAGAGGAGUACAGCACGGGGAAGCAAUGCAAGAAUAGCUCCCUGCAUAUGUUAACGGCACAGAAAAAGGCUGAAAUGAGUGCUGGAUCCGAAGCAGCAAAAGAAGAAGGAUGGGAGCCACAACAAGUAGAAGAAGGAAAUGCUUACGACGCUGUAAGUAUCAAGGAGUCAAAUAACCAAGCCCUUCUAAGUUUGGUUGAUGAUAGAAGCAUACAUAGCCUUAUUCACUUCGGAACGGCAAAAGCUACCAAAGUGGGAUCUACUACUUUUGCACCCUUGAUAGUGAUAGCAGACCGGGAUCCCAAGAUGCUAAGCAAAGAUUCUUGUCCUCAGUUUGCAAGGAAGAAACCAGGUUACAAAUUCUUGGCUGAUUCAAGAGAAUUGAGACUCAAAAGUUCUGACAUAGCGCUUAGAAUCGAUUGGAUGAAGGAAUAUAGGCAAGUGCCUUUUGAUCCAGGACCUAACAAGGUGACAUUUCGCAGCAUUGAAGGAGAAGCCUCUCACAAAUUUAUCAUGACAAGUAAGUUACAAAAGGUAAUCCAUCAGAAAAUACGAGGUAUGCUGGGUCAAUCUGCUAUGAUUAGAAUUGGAGAAAUGGCGAAGGCGAUUACUACAGAAGGUUGCAAGAGAGUUAAUAGCAUAGGCUUAAUUGGUAUUGUUGAGGGCCUCAAUAAGCACAUCCAAAGAAGGCCAAUUGAAGCGUAUCAAGAGAGCAUUGAGAACUCAAGGAUCCAAACGCUACUUCGAAACUCUAGCCUGGAAGAAGCUUACAUUGCGUACAGCUUGGUGAAUGGGUGUAAGGAAUUAGGGUCUGUGCUUAAGAUGCCUCACCCAUGCUCGCGAUUUCUGGCCUAUGAACAAGACAAGCUGCAGGAAUCUGAUGUAAGUGAUUGCAACUUCCAUAAUGCUAACUAUGUUCAUAGUGUGAUGGUUAUAGGCAACAGCUUUCUAAGCCUGGUCGAAGGUCAAGUUCACCCUGAAAAUGGAGAAGAUCAGGAUGUAAGAGAAUUAGAAGAUGAAACUAGCUGUUCCCUCAUCAUAGCUAGGAUGGUUAUGAAGAGGUUUGCCGAUAAAAAGUGGUGUGAUGGUCUCUAUAGGCAAAAGAUUUCGAAGGAUUGUUCCGCACUUAAGAAGAAGACCAAUGGGGAGCAGAAUGAAAUCAGUCGUGAAGACCAUAUAGAGAUCAAGACUAUGGAAAAAAUCUCAGAGCUCACAUUAAGUCAGUUUGCACUUUACCACAUCUCGGAGCAGACAAGACUGGCGGCGUGCAGGUUGCGACUGCCUGAAGGUCCCGAGGGUGAGCCCUCGCCCCAACAGGUACCGCCGUCCAUGCUGCCAACCAGAGAUGAUAGGCGAGUGUGGACACGAAUUGGAAACACCUCACACCAGCACAAGGUGACGCAAGAAAACAGAACAGAGGUUUCAAUAUGGCUUAAAGGAAACAAUUCUGAAGAAGAAGAAUGUGCCGCGAGUGAAGCAAAUGAGAGCCCCAAACCAGUUCAACAAGUUCCAUCCUUGAGGACAAGGAUGAUUUUAAGGGGAGGGGAUUGUAACGACCCUGGAGAAUAAAUGGUAGAGGUAGCAGUAGCAGUAGUAAUAGUUAGCAUGGGAGAAUAGUAAAAAUAGCAACUUUACUAGUUAAAAUGGAGAAUAAAAGUGGCAGCAGCAGAAUGGUGAAGGAGCGAGCUCAGUGGGGUGAACCGGCGGCAAGGGCGUUCAGGCGGAACUCAGGCGGGCGACGAGGAAGGGUGGCGCUGCGGCCGCGGCAGCCUUCCCAGCGACUGUCUCCCUCAAGAAAGCGAAGGCGCCGGCCGCGCUCUGGAACCCGCCGCAGGCCUGCUUGAGCCUUGCGGCGAUGGUGCGAUCGGCGGCGUGGGCGAUCUGCGAGUAGACGGCGGCAGUGGGGGAAAUGGGAGGAACGCGAAGGGAGAAGGAGGUCCGACAGCAUCUACGGUUGGGGAAGAUGGAAGCCUUGCGGGUCGGAUGGGCAGAUUUCCGGAUCGGAGGCAAAACGCGAACCCAAGACCCGCCGGCAAUGGAUAGUGCGGAGAAGGCGAACCCGCAACCCGCUUGCCCGUUUACCAGACAACUUCGGACCGAACAAGCCCAGCGGAGGCCCAGCCUGCGAGUGAAUCGCGGCCCAGCCUGCUCUCACCCAGUUUACAUAUUGCUGUUUAGCCCUUAUAGGAUAGUUUACUUUAAUUUCAAUACCAGUUGUAGAGGAAUAUAUCUAACAGAAUGUCAUGAGAAGAUCAUAAAUGAAAAUGAAAUAGUCUAUUUCUCCCCCAAAGGUUCUUCUCCAAACCCUUCUUCUUCUCUAUCCCUUAUCUCUAUCCCAACUCUUUUCCCUAACCCUCACCUCUCAAUCCUCAUCUGUCUAUCUCUCUACCUCUAUUUCUCUUCUCUCUAUCUCAAUCCCAAUUUCUAUCUCUAUUUUCUUACCUCUCUAGCCUCGGUUACCGACUACGUUACCUCCGAUACGCGACCGGAAGGACCAAGAACCUGAUCCGAGCCAUAAGGGAUAUUACAAUUGGUAUCAGAGCGGCACUGUCCCAGGGCCGUGGGCGGCGGGAAUUCAACAGGAGCAAGAACGUUGGAGUUUCAGCAGCUGUGAGGAAUUACGUCGAACAAUGGAGGCGCAACAGGUAACAUCAUCCAAUUAGCAUAAUUAAGCAACAGAAGGCUCACACGAGGGUGUACGGAGGUAGUAGCAAGGACUAGUGCUGGUUCUAUUGCAAUUAGAACAGCACCAGGCCUCAGGCAAGCAUCUUUGGCACCUCGGCCGAAUUACUGUAGCAGGUGUUAAUUCCAGAUCAAACAAGAGUGAAGCAAUCAGUAGCGUCCAGGGGCAACAAUUGCAAAAAAGAGCGAAAACCGAUUCAAAUUCGAAACCAAGAGAAGUGAGAUCCCAGGGAUCGGUGCUGCGACAGUCGCGUGAUUCCGAUUCUUAGAAUUGUAGAGUCAAUUGCGACAUAGCUACCUGCGCUGCGAGAAUCGGCUUCGGCUGGAUCUCGACAAAAGGGGCCGCAGCGGAAUCACACUGAUUCUGAGUUUUACACAGUUCUAGCAGAGCUAAUUUCUGCUCAAUUGUGAAGCUCCCACCUGGUACCUGCGAAUAAUUCUCAAGCAGGUAGAUCCCACAUUGUAUAGCUUAGCAAAAUUGGGUCAACAUGAGGCAACAGAUCUAAAUUCACUAGUAGCUUGUACAAGGCAAGAGAAGAAUUAGUUACUGUCCAGGGAUGGUAGGCAAAAUGGCUAUUGGAACAAAGUGGCAGCAACAAACUACUAGUUAUAACCAAAGCUUUGAAGGAACGUUGCACAUUGCUAGGGAUUUCAAUCAGAAUUUAGAUAUUUUGGCGCAAAGGAUUGAAACCCUGCGGAAGGAAGAGGCAAGGAGGUACGAAAUUAUGAUGGAGGAGGAGGCCCGCAGGCAUGAACAACUCCUAGAGUUGAUUAGAAGUCGAUUUGUACAUGCUAAAGGGAAAGGGACAGUAGUGCAAGUUCCGAUAGAAAAGAAACAUCGGCAACAGUACAUGCCAUACAUGGAGAUAAGUUUCCCAGAUUUUAACGGAACAGAUCCAAAAGGAUGGUUACGAAAUUGCGAGCAGUAUUUUGACCGAUACCAAGUUCCUGAGCAACAAUGGAUAGGCAUAGCGUCCAUGCACAUAGAGGGUGAUGCACGGUUUUGGAAGCAAGCAUAUUUCUUUAACCGACCAGAGGUAAAUUGGGGCGAGUUUUCCGAUGCCAUUUGUAAAAGAUUUACAGCGACGAAAGAGAGGUACCCAACCCAAGAGUCUAGUGCUUGCAAGCAAACCGGUUCUUACCAAGAGAAUUGUGAAGCCAUUAAGAUGCACAAAAGCAUGAUGCAGGAGGAUGGCCGCAAGCAUGAACAACUCCUAAAUUCACCCAGGAGCCGACCUAUGCAUGAUGAAAAAAAUGAGAUAAAAGUGCAAGGUACUGAAGAGGAGUUUGGCACAAUACCUGCAUGCAAGGCUGCAGAAAGGGGAAUUAGUUCACUAACUAGUUCGGAAAACAACUCUAAGACUGAAGUAAAAAAAUUGGAGCAAAAACAGUAUCAAAAUCUGAAGAUGAAAGUAUACACAAGGUGUGACGAGGAGCUGAGAAACAGAUUUGGCAAACCGGAGGAGUUGCCGAGGUUGCAUGCAACUCAACCAUCUCUUAGUAAGCUUAUUUCAGCUAUCGCAACACCCCACUCAGAGAACAAAGGCUCAAAGGAAAACAACUUCGAAGAAAACAUCAUUCCAUCCCCUAGAAGAGCAAACAAAGAUCAAUUUCAUCAUCAGCAUCAACAGCAUAAGCUCUGGAAGCGAUCUAUAAGGCGUGGAACCGAUCAUCAUUGUCGCCAUCCAGUUCUCAGAUCGAAUUCACCAUUGAAGGUUGCGACUCAGUUCGGGACCAAAUCGGGCCUAGAUCGACCCUUGGUAACACCUCAAUCAUCAUCGCAGCCAACCAAAUCUCCGAGAUUACAAUCGGCGAUGGAUGCUACUCAGAUUGGGUUAUUACAAGCUGGAAAAGCAAAGGCAGAAAAGCGAGAUAUUGAUAACUGCAAAAAUAAACCCCCUUGGAAGAAAAUUACUGCAGAGAGGUCACUAGGGGUGAGGAGCAGGGGCUUAACUGAUGAAAAGCCAGAGAAAGCUUAUCAAGCAAGAUCUGAGGACUUCAGGGCCCACAAGUUAAUCCAAAUCUCUAACCUGGCAGAAGCCAGCAUGGUGCGCAGCGUUGCGAAUGGAUAUAAGGAGCUUAGUUCUAUGCUUGGAAGGCCUCAUCCUUGUUCACUGGCUUUGGCUUAUGAACAAACCAAACAGAAAGAAUCCAAUAAAGAAUGGGAAAUUACACUACUUGCAGAAGGCAAAUGCAGGGCAAUUACCAUUUUUACACCAAAAUGGAAACAGGAAGUGCAGGAUGGUGAUGAGGCAGGCUCCCAAGUCAAGCAAGUUACCACAGAGCUAAUAGUGUAUGCAAUCUCUAAACCCAAUUGUAACACCAAGCCUACCAACACAGCUCCAAGGAUAAAUCUGAAGCUUAUCUCAAAGUAUUAUGGGCCACUGAAGGUAUUAGAGAGGAUGGACAUGCAGUACAAGGAGCUAGGGACUGUGCUUAAGAGGCCUCACCCAUGCUCGCGAUUUCUGGCCUAUGAACAAGACAAGCUACAGGAAUCUAAUAGAAACUUGGGUGUUACCUUGCACAUAAAAGGGGGAUGCAAAGCACUUACCAUGAAUAUGUGCAGAUGGAUGCAAGCUGUGCAAAAUAGAAGUGAAGAAGACCAUCUGCUAAUUGAAUUUCAUCCUUCUAGGGCGUGGCAAGUUGAUCAGGGUAUUGAACAGUUCACUCGAUGGUCAGGAAUUGAAAGGGAUAUGCAUCAGUUAGUGCAAGAUUGUGAAGUUUGCUUAAGAUCUAAGGAAGAAAAUAGGCCCAAACAUUGCUACAAGAAGCUGAAGCUUGAAGAAUGGUGGUCCUACACUAGAUUCUACAUCUCAUCAGGAAGGGGAAUUUUACAAGGUCCGGUGGCACGCGGGUUGUCACUGCCUGAAGGUCCCAAGGGUGAGCCCCCGCCCCAGCAGGAGCCGCCGUCCAUGUUGCCAACCCGAGAUGUUAGGAGAGUGUGGACACAGUUGGAAACACCUCACGCCGGCGCGAAGCAGGGCAAGAAAACAGAACAGAUAUUAGAAGAUGGCUUAAAAAGAAGCAAUUUUGAAAAAGAAGAAUGUGCCGCGAGUGAAGCAAAUGGGAGCCCCAAACCAGUUCAACAAAGUUCCAUCCUUGAGGACAAGGAUGAUUUUAAGGGGAGGGGAUUGUAACAACCCUGAAGAAUAAAGGGUAGAAGUCGUAGUAGUAUUAAUAGUUAGAUGUAGAAGAUGAGUAAAGGUAGCAGCUUUACUAGCUAGAAGAAGAAUAAGUGACAGCAGGGGGUGGUGAGGAGUGAGCUCGGCGGAGCGAUCCGACGGUAAGGCGCUCGAGCGGAACUCCGGCGGGAAGGCGCCUUCGAAGGGGCUCAGGCGAGCUCAACAGUGCUAGGGCAUCCUCAGAGCUCGGAGAGGGCGAUGGAAGGAUCGAGAACGGAGAGAAGGGGAGUCCGACAGAACAAUAGCGUUUGGGGCGAAGAAGAGAACUUGCGGGUCGAAGCUUCCGAGUCGCGGAUCGGAGGAAAAAUGCGAACCCAAGACCCGCCGGGUGGAGGGUAGUGCGGAGAAGGGCUAUCCGAUAUCCACUUACCCAUUAUUGGCGGAUCGGGCCAGCCACAUCGCGGAUCGGGCGGAAAAGGCGAGCCCAAGACCCGCUGGGCACUGGAUAGUGCGGAGAAGAAGAAACCGAGACCCACUUACCCGUUAGCUGGAGUUCCUGGACCAGGAGAGCCCAAGCGGAGGCCCAUCAACCGUCGAAUAGCAUCCAGCAAGCCACAUUCCCAUUUACCAUCAUAUUUGCUGUUAAGCCCUCACAUAGUUGUUAUUUUCAUUUCAGUACUAAUAUGCUAGGGAGUAUAAAUAGUGAAAUGUAAUGUAAUCGAGGCAUCAAUGAAAAUGAAAUAGUCUAUUUCUCCCCCAAAGGUUCUUCUCCAAACCCUUCUUCUUCUCUAUCCCUUAUCUCUAUCUCUAUCCUAACUCUUUUUCCUAACCCUCACCUCUCAAUCCUCAUCUGUCUAAUCUCUCUACCUCUAUUUCUCUUCUCUCUAUCUCAAUCCCAAUUUCUCUCUCUAUUUUCUUACCUCUCUAUCCUCGGUUACCGAUUGUGUUACCUCGGAUCCGCGACCAGAAGCACCGAGAACAGCAAUAUACAAGCCGGGAUAUUACAAAGUGUUGGGUUAAAUUCUGGAUUUUUGAUUUCAUUUCACAGAUUUUUUAUUUAAUCUAUUAGUAAAUAAACGAGACUAAACAAAAAAUGGCUAGUUGCUCCAGCGUUCCGAUCUUUUUGAUUGCAUGGUCUCUAAGAAGUGCUGGAUUGAUCGACAAUUCGACUUUCAAAAUUUUAAUUUAGAACCAAAAGGGAGUUUCCAACAUGAUGAUCAUCUUGGUUUCUACAAAGUUAACAAAGCUAAACGGGAAAACUCAAUUCUCUAUCUAUCUUAUACACACAUGACACAGCCUAUCUGAUCUGAUCUGAUCAUCAACCUGAAGCACUAAUUACAAUAAAAAUAACAACAACAACAACAACAACAGUAAUAAGCCUAACUGUUUUAUCUUCUAAGUUCCCUUUUGCUGGUGCUUCUGGGUCCUCUUCUGGUACUUGUCUUUGAUCCACUGCAACCCAAGAGUGGUUCCUUCCUUCACCUUCUUCAUCCCCGCUGCAGCGACAACCUUCGUCUUCUCGGCCCCGCUCUUCACGCCGCUGCUCACCGUGUUCUUCAUCUUCAUCUGCUUCUGCUUCUUCUCCGUGCCCUCCUCGACGUCGCCGUAGUCCCACUGAUCGGCCCACGAUGUCCCGAACGAACCGCUCCUCUCCAUUUACGAAAUCAAUUAAAACAAAUAGUGCAACAUAUGCAACGCACAACCUAGAUUCAUAUAUAUGGAGUGCUUUGUUGUGAAGUGCGUUUUAGGAGAUCCUUUCCCUUUGAGAGAGAGGAGAGAUCUUACUAUAUAUACAAAGGAAGUAUCAGUUGGCGUAUGGAGACUAACUUGUGUUACGGUUGAAAUCGAAGUUUUGCUAUAAAUGGGAGGGAAAAUAAAAAAAAAUAUUUUAUAACAAAAAUGUGGACGUUACAAAUUUCUAUUUACUAUUUUUUAGCCGCCCUAUAUGUGAAGUACACGAUAAUUUUUUUUUUUCCGUCUCAUCAUAGCAUGUGUAAAUUAUUGUAAAAUAUAUAGCGAAGUAUAGUAUUAAUUACUGGGAAAAUAAAAAUUUGCAGAGUAUACAGCAUUGCACGAAUUAUAAAGAAAGCAAAGAAAAUAAUGGAGUAAUCAUAAUCAAAGCAAUUUUUUGACUUUUGUUUUUCGAGGAAAGUGAAUAGGCUGCUGUGGGCUUGGGGUUCUAGAAGCGUACAAAUUUUUUUCUUUUUCUUUGUUUUUUUUUUGUGACAACGCAAGAAAAAUGUCAUGGAAAAAAGAUUUUUUAAAAAAAUGAAAUCUAGAUUUUUCUAGAAGCAUAGAACUUAUUGGAGAUAAAACUAU
rnacentral:lncRNA from 1 species